UGCUCUGUGGCUUAGUAGGUUAAAGCGCCGGACUAGCGAUGCGGAGUCGAGGGUUCGAAUCCCACCAAAACAA
rnacentral:tRNA from 1 species